rnacentral:lncRNA from 1 species
AACUCAAAGAAAAGAUUCAACCAGAAGAGACCAUACCCACUUGGUGGAGUUUGCCAAAGAUCAGAAACAGGGUCUGCUGCAUUAGUCUGUGACCUUCGGACUAGUGACACCACUGCUUCCUCAAGGCAUGGACUCUUGGAAGGGGCAGGAGAGCUACAGCAGUUGAAGCAGAGAAGAAAGGCUGAGGAAUUUAGGCAACUCCAGGACAGCGGAAAUGCAUGGAGAAGACCAGAAGUUCAGCUCUUGUUUCUGCCUUGUGCUGUGCAAACAAUGCAUGACCAGAUUAGACAAAAAUAUCAUCACGGAAGAAGAGAGAGUGGGCUUCCAGAAGCCCAGAAAACAGGUGAUUCCAGCAAGGUUCCUAGAUGACUGAUAGAUGGUCAUUUCUUCAGUCACUUUUGCAAGAAAGACCUAGAAAAUUCCACAUAGGGAGCAUCUUCCUAUUUUUCAUGAAAUCAAAGCAGAUGGAAAGCUGUCAACUUCAGUAUAAACACACAAA